UACGGGGGGGGGCAAGCGUUGUUCGGAAUUACUGGGCGUAAAGGGCUCGUAGGUGGCCAACUAAGUCAGACGUGAAAUCCCUCAGCUUAACUGGGGAACUGCGUCUGAUACUGGAUGGCUUGAGUUUGGGAGAGGGACGCGGAAUUCCAGGUGUAGCGGUGAAAUGCGUAGAUAUCUGGAGGAACACCGGUGGCGAAGGCGGCAUCCUGGACCAAUACUGACACUGAGGAGCGAAAGCCAGGGGAGCAAACGGG
rnacentral:rRNA from 1 species